CUCUAAGUAACCUAAACAUUUAAGGUACUAAACUUUUAAUUUAGCUAUGAUAAUGAAUAUCCUUAGGGA
rnacentral:tRNA from 1 species